AUGCUUGCUUCAGUAGCACAUAUACUAAAAUUGGAACUAUACUGAAAAGAUUAGCAUGGCCCCUGCACUGGUGGAAAUGCAAACUUGUGUUGCCACUUUGG
ensembl:snRNA U6 U6 spliceosomal RNA